AAGUUGAAAAGGCACACAUCCUCUCCUGUCUGCGCUUCUAGACCGGCCACGACAAGGGGUCGAAUCCCAUGCACCAAGUCUGGAAAAUGCCGAGCAAGAAGUAGACGAGGAUGGAGUCGUAGCGACCCACGACCCCUACUAGAAACAACUACUCCGAAAACCCACCCGAUUCGCUCUCGUGGCUUCCCUCCACCCUUCCUUCCAGCCCUUCUUUUUCUACAACCGCGACAGUCGUCCCAAAAGCCACUGGACCGACUUUAACGCCACCCAGGAGCUCGGGUUCUCCUCCUCCACGACAAUGACGUCCUUUGGUUCUACUCUUUUACUCUGGUGGUGUUUAUAUAAUUAGAGAUGAUCACUGUGGUGCAAUCCUGAAGAAUGAAGUACAAUCUAUUGAUGAAGCUACAAGUUGUUGACUUGAACCAGAGACGUCUAAUGGUUCAAGUUGUUUGCAACCUCCUUCAAAUAACUUAGGUUUUGCAUUUUGGUUUUUCAGCAAAACCCAGGGACAGUACUGGUGAAAGGAUCAUUACAGCAUAGAGAUAACCCAGUCUCAGGUUACAACCAUGAAGUUGCUCUAUCUCAAGCAAAAGGAUGUUUGAGCAGCGAUGCUUCAGUUGCACAUUUUUUCAUUCUCCUUGUUUGUCUUUUUUUGUCAUCACUGCGUUUGGAGCUACAUCUUUGAUUUUCUAAUUGACCAUACCUUUUCAUGUUUCCAGUUUCCUUUCCCCUUACCACACUGUACUCGAUAUGAACAUUAAGCUUUCAUGGUUAACAUUAUCCCAUUCUUUGGGAUUUGAUUG